GAGGCAAGAGCGGAGUUUGCAGCUCAUGUGUGUGUGUAAUCAGGAAACUCGUUUUGUCCCUUUCCCAAACUCGUAAAACUUUUUGAUAACAUCACUGAUUUGAUUUAAAUUUAAUAAUUUAUAAAUUUUAUUUAAAUAGAAAUUAUCAUGUUUUAAAUUAGUACAUAUUUUAAAUUAUUUACAUAUAUUAAUAAAAUAUAUUAAGUUUUAGUAUUAAUGCAUAAUUUUGUAUUUAUUUUUUCUUAUAAUUCUAAAUUAGAAUACAAACAAUUGAUCAUUAUUAGUUAAUAAGACAUCAUUAAAAAUACAAACAAAUGUUUUUGAAU
rnacentral:lncRNA from 1 species